UGGAUAUGAUGAAAUAGAGAAUUGAGGGUAUUGGUGAGAGUGUUUAUAGAGUUAUGUACAUUAUUUCUGUAAUGGUUAAUUCUGUGUGUGAGUGUGUGUAUUUAGGUUAUUACAAGGGGCCUCUGAAAUUAGAGUAUUGCUGAUUUCGGAGUGCAUCUGAGGAAUGUUGUAAGAAGAGGGGCCUUACUGCAACAAUUCCAGUGAUUAGAGCCCUACAUUAGGUCUCCUAAAUAACCUGCGUACCCUUCUCUGACAGGUUUGCAUAAGUCAGACCUGUGAUCUGAUCCAG